rnacentral:rRNA from 1 species
AUACGGAGGGUGCAAGCGUUACUCGGAAUCACUGGGCGUAAAGCGCGCGCAGGCGGGCUGAUAAGUUGGAUGUGAAAGCCUACGGCUCAACCGUAGAACUGCAUCCAAAACUAUUUAGCUAGAGUGUGGGAGAGGAAGAUGGAAUUAGUUGUGUAGGGGUAAAAUCCGUAGAGAUAACUAGGAAUACCAAAAGCGAAGGCAAUCUUCUGGAACACUACUGACGCUGAGGCGCGAAAGCGUGGGGAGCAAACAGGAUUAGAAACCCCAGUAGUCC